GGGGGGGUAGAAAUUUCCCAGGNGUAGCGGGUGAAAAUGCGUAGAGUUNNGGAGGAAUAUCGGNNGGNGAAAGGNGNCCCCNUGGACAAAGANUGACNNUCAGAUGNNAAAGCGUGGGUAGCAAACAGGAUUAGAUACCCUGGUAGUCCACGCCGUAAACGAUGUCUACUUGAAGGUUGGGAUCUUGAAUUCUGGCCUUCGGGAGCUAACGCGUUAAGUAGACCGCCUGGGGAGUACGGUCGCAAGAUUUAAAACUCAAAUGAAUUGACGGGGGCCCGCACAAGCGGUGGAGCAUGUGGUUUAAUUCGAUGCAACGNGAAGAACCUUACCUACUCUUGACAUCCAGAGAAGCCAGCAGAGAUGCAGGUGUGCCUUCGGGAACUCUGAGACAGGUGCUGCAUGGCUGUCGUCAGCUCGUGUUGUGAAAUGUUGGGUUAAGUCCCGCAACGAGCGCAACCCUUAUCCUUGUUUGCCAGCACGUAAUGGUGGGAACUCCAGGGAGACUGCCGGUGAUAAACCGGAGGAAGGUGGGGANGACGUCAAGUCAUCAUGGCCCUUACGAGUAGGGCUACACNCNUGNNANAAUGGUGCAUACAGAGGGAAGCAAGAGCGCGAGCUGGAGCGGAUCCCAAAAAGUGCAUCGUAGUCCGGAUUG
rnacentral:rRNA from 1 species